GAUGAAUGCUGGCGGCGUGCCUAACACAUGCAAGUCGAGCGGUAAGGCCCUUCGGGGUACACGAGCGGCGGACGGCUGAGUAACGCGUGGGAACAUGCCCCAAAGUGAGGGAUAAGCUCCAGAAAUGGAGUCUAAUACCGCAUAUGAUCUUCGGAUUAAAGGAUUUAUCCGCUUUGGGAGUGGCCUGCGUACGAUUAGAUAGUUGGUGAGGUAAUGGCUUACCAAGUCUACGAUCGUUAACUGGUCUGAGAGGAUGAUCAGUCAGACUGGAACUGAGACACGGUCCAGACUCCUACGGGAGGCGGCAGUGAGGAAUCUUCCACAAUGGGCGAAAGCCUGAUGGAGCAACGCCGCGUGCAGGAUGAAGGCCUUCGGGUCGUAAACUGCUUUUAUAAGUGAAGAAUAUGACGGUAACUUAUGAAUAAGCACCGGCUAACUACGUGCCAGCAGCCGCCGUA
rnacentral:rRNA from 1 species